CGUGGGGAACCUGCCCCAUAGUCUGGGAUACCACUUGGAAACAGGUGCUAAUACCGGAUAAGAAAGCAGAUCGCAUGAUCAGCUUUUAAAAGGCGGCGUAAGCUGUCGCUAUGGGAUGGCCCCGCGGUGCAUUAGUUAGUUGGUAAGGUAAAGGCUUACCAAGGCGAUGAUGCAUAGCCGAGUUGAGAGACUGAUCGGCCACAAUGGAACUGAGACACGGUCCAUACUCCUACGGGAGGCAGCAGCC
rnacentral:rRNA from 1 species